CUAAUGCUAAAUUCAACUAGCUCAUGUGUUUCAUUCUGUUUGGCAGUUAUGAUGCCACGAGGUUCCUUCUGAGGACGUUAACUUAUGUGUGUUCGCCAGGUGUCUUAACGUCACACAAUAAACGGCCGAUCCGAGCCGAAUGUGGUCCGUGCCCUGGUGGUGAUUUUAACAACACAACGCAAGAAAGAGUACAACCGCUACAUAAACAGCACCUAACAGGACACCCUGACCUUAGCACUUUGCUGGAGACUGGUGGUGCUGGUGGCCCUUUUUGUUUGCCGUGUCCUGGGAAGCGGGAUUCUCUCCCCCCCCCCUUACACCUAGCCUUGUCCAUCCACUCGGCUCCAACCCUCUUAUUGAUUUUUCGUUUUAAAUAAAGCUG
ensembl:lncRNA